GGCUGGAUAGCUCAGUUGGUAGAGCAACGGACUGAAAAUCCGUGUGUCGGGGGUUCAAAUCCCUCUCCAGCCA